UUCUCGUUUGAAUGGAUUUACACUAGUAAUUUUGAGGCCCUUUAUAGCAUGUUGUUCGGUGUGAGCCAAGGCUCCGUAUUGAAGGCCAUACUUUGACCUAUAAUUGUUUACUUUUAUAAAUUGUUAUUUGGAUGGAGAGUUGUCUCAUUGGCACUCAUACCACAUCUUCCUAUACCUACUAAUUAUGUUGUUUUUUUUUCUCAAUGAGCGAAGGCAUGAAUUCUCAUGAUUGAAAGUAAAAUAUACUAUGAAUACAUCCAGUUGUGGCUAGUUAUUCCUACUAAGAUUGCUUAUAUAAAAAAAGUGCUUCUUACAAUGAUUGAUUGAUUGAUCAGUAUUUAACGCGCUUUCAACACUAUUGUGCUAUUUCGUGGGGUCAGUUUUUAUUUUUGGAGGGAGCCGGAGUGCCAGGAGAAAAGCACAGACCUUCGGUAGGAAAACUGACAAUCCUAAUCAAUUAAGAUUAGAUUCGAGUGCAAGCUCAAACUCACAACCUCAGUGUUGACUGGCUAGUGAUAAGUAACUGCAGUUCGAUUACCUAGACAAAUGAAUCACCUUGCUUACAAAAAAGUUAUUUGGUCACUGGUUCUAAAUGACAAGUUACAAAUCAUAGAUUCGAAAGUUUUACGAACAUAACCAAAAUUAAAUUGACUGUUUUGAAGUGUUAAAACACUAUAUUUCUGUUAAAGAUGGCAAAAUGUAUGUACAAAAAUGUAGUCACUCACAAGCCCAUCCUUUUCUCCUUUCCUUAUGUAUAGUGCCAACGAAUGACACUAAAACAGACUCAGCGCAUGGUAAAAACAUUCGCAAAGACGGUGAUUCGUAAUAACGAAUCCGGAGCAGACACUGCUUUUGUUCAUUUUUUUUUUUUUUUCAUGUUCAAUGCUCUGUAACUCCGUAUUUGAUUGGCAUUCCAACAGCUGGGAUCUGAGCGACACUGGUGUGUUUUAUAAAGGCGAAACGCGUCUGACUUACCAAAUAAGCUGGUAUAUUCGAUACAAAUUUAUCUUUUCGCAAAGAACGAAUACUUCGCUAAGUUUGACUUGGAUGAGUUCCUGUUGUUCAAACUUUACUCUUCUGUACAGUGUUUUUUGGACUGAUUUUUUUUUAUUUUGUCUUAGUUUUUUUACUGAUGCUGUGUGACUAGACCCGUAUUUUCUUUAAGCAGGAUCUGCUCACCCUUUCGGAACACAUGAGAAAAAAUUGUGUGUUUUAGCGUCGUUUGUGUUUCUCAGUCUAUUUGUCUGUGUCAUUAUUUUAUCGACUUGAUUGUCUUUUCGUCGUAUUUUUUUUUUUUUUUUUUUUUGUAACGGUGUUGUCAGUUUAUAUCGCAUUAUGAGUUUUAAGGUGGUACCCAACACGUUCACUAAAAUUAAUUUGGCUCGUUUAAUUUUCAUAAAAUUUUGACAAAGUAUUUACUUUGACC
rnacentral:lncRNA from 1 species